rnacentral:rRNA from 1 species
UACGAAGGGGGCGAGCGUUGUUCGGAAUUACUGGGCGUAAAGGGCGCGCAGGCGGCCCUUGAAGUCAAGCGUGAAAGCCCCGGGCUCAACCUGGGAGGUGCGCUUGAUACUCGAGGGCUUGAGUGCGGGAGAGGAGAGUGGAAUUCCCGGUGUAGUGGUGAAAUGCGUAGAGAUCGGGAGGAACACCAGUGGCGGAAGGCGGCCGGCUGGGGGUGCCCUGGACGCUGAGGCGCGAAAGCGUGGGGAGCAAACAGG